rnacentral:tRNA from 1 species
GAGGGUAUAGCUCAAGUGGUAGAGUGCAUGCCUAGCAUGCAUGAGGUCCUGGGUUCAAUCCCCAGUACCAACU